rnacentral:rRNA from 1 species
AGAUUGAACGCUGGCGGCAGGCCUAACACAUGCAAGUCGAGCGGUAGAGAGGUGCUUGCAUCUCUUGAGAGCGGCGGACGGGUGAGUAAUGCCUAGGAAUCUGCCUAGUGGUGGGGGAUAACGUUCGGAAACGGACGCUAAUACCGCAUACGUCCUACGGGAGAAAGCGGGGGACCUUCGGGCCUCGCGCCAUUAGAUGAGCCUAGGUCGGAUUAGCUAGUUGGUGAGGUAAUGGCUCACCAAGGCGACGAUCCGUAACUGGUCUGAGAGGAUGAUCAGUCACACUGGAACUGAGACACGGUCCAGACUCCUACGGGAGCAGCAGUGGGAAUAUGGACAAUGGGCGAAAGCCUGAUCCAGCCAUGCCGCGUGUGUACGAAGAAGGUCUCGG